CGGGAGUUCGUAGCGGGAUCGCGAAUCAUUUGAGUCAGCGGGAUCGCGAAUCAUUUGAGUCAGUUCGCGGGAGUUCGUAGCGGGAUCGCGAAUCAUUUGAGUCAGUUCGCGGGAGUUCAUAGCGGGAUCGCGAAUCAUUUGAGUCAGUUCGCGGGAGUUCGUAGCGGGAUCGCGAAUCAUUUGAGUCAGUUUGGGAGUUCGGAGCGGGUUAGCGAAUCAUUUGAAUCAGUUCGAGAGUUCGUAGCGGGUAUCACGAAUCAUUUGAGUCAGUUUGGGAGUUCGGAGCCUGAAUCAUUUUUUCUAAGAGUGUGGUGAACCGAGCAGUUCGGAUUUUUGACCGUCAGGCCACCGGGAAAUGUCCCGGUGCUCCCAAUGGCCAGUCCGCCCCUAGCGAUGUGACUCCUCCGUUACCGAAGCAAGCGGCGAUUUCACGAGCACUCGCUCCGAUCAAACACAGCAGACCACAGAGCUGAAUCUGUCAAAAACAGCUACUCACUGUCAACACUUCUCUAAGUGUGAGUUAUUAGCCUUAAAAUCACACAAUUGUAAAAUGUAAAACAUGAAAAAAAUAAAAAUAAACUCACUAAAAACAUAAAAUGUAAAACGAAUAAAGGCAAUUAAAAAUAAAACUCAUAGAUCAAAUUAAAUAAUAAUUCUAUAAAUAAAAUCACAAUCGUUUGCAAAAAAAAAACAAACAAAAAAAAACAAUCGUAAUAAAACUGAUGUUUUUAUGUCAUGAUUUGUUGUUUUCAAAUUAUAACCAUUUUAAUAGUUAUUUUAACAUUUUAAAAGAAACUAAAUAAAACCUUUACUAAAUGUGAAUUAUAUAGCCUACAGACUUUUACAAAUCAUUUAAGUUAAAAACAACAACAAAAGGAAACAAAAACAAAACACCAAACAUUAAUGAAAUCAUAAAGUAAACAUAAAAAAAUUAUUAAAAGUAUCAAAUGAAAAAUCUAUAAAUUAAACCAUGAAUAUAAAAUAAAGCUUAUUUUUUUUUGCAUUUUAAAUCUUAAUGCAAAUAAAAUAUUAGUAAUUAAAUGAUAAAAAUACACAACUAAAAUUCAUAGUAUUAAAAAAAAAAAAUACUAUAUAUUAUAAUCAAAUCAUAAAAAAAUGAAAAUUCAAAUAAAAGAUUAAUUUAAAAAAACUUAAUAAAACACAUAAAAAUUUACACAUCUAAAACUAAAAUAAAUUAUAUAAAAAAAUAAAACACUUAUGACAAAUUCAUUAAAUCAUAAAAAUUCACAAUUAAAAUAAAUAAAUGAUUAAAAUAAAUUCAAAACCCCCAAAAAUGUAAAUCAUAAAAAAGCAAUGAAAUGCUUAUAAGGAAAAUAAAAAAUAAAUAAAACACUUACUGAAAAAAAAAAAAAAUGAGAUUAAAAUACAUAAUUUA
rnacentral:lncRNA from 1 species